rnacentral:rRNA from 1 species
CCUACGGGAGGCUGCAGUGGGGAAUAUUGGACAAUGGGGGGAACCCUGAUCCAGCCAUGCCGCGUGUGUGAAGAAGGCCCUCGGGUUGUAAAGCACUUUCAGUGAGGAAGAACGCCUGGUGGUUAAUACCCAUCAGGAAAGACAUCACUCACAGAAGAAGCACCGGCUAACUCCGUGCCAGCAGCCGCGGUAAUACGGAGGGUGCGAGCGUUAAUCGGAAUUACUGGGCGUAAAGCGCGCGUAGGUGGCUUGAUAAGCCGGUUGUGAAAGCCCCGGGCUCAACCUGGGAACGGCAUCCGGAACUGUCAAGCUAGAGUGCAGGAGAGGAAGGUAGAAUUCCCGGUGUAGCGGUGAAAUGCGUAGAGAUCGGGAGGAAUACCAGUGGCGAAGGCGGCCUUCUGGACUGACACAGACACUGAGGUGCGAAAGCGUGGGUAGCAAACAGGAUUAGAUACCCUAGUAGUC